rnacentral:rRNA from 1 species
AUGGAGGAGAAGAAGAGCCUCCCUGAGGCGUCGGGCCCUGAUGCUGCGAGGACGAAGGAGGCUGUGUCUACAGCCGGGAACUCCGUUAGCCUGCUCGCCGACCGCAUCCUCCCCACCAACAUCCGGCGCCCAGGGAAGGAGAUUGCCAAGGCUUGUACGGAACCUGUGAAGAAGACCCUGUUCAUCAACAUGACCGGGGCUCGCAAGGCGGUGCAGCGCUUCCUGGCGGUCGGACUGUUCCUGUCCGUUCUUCUGGUGAACUCCAGGCAGCUGAUGGACCAUAUGAGGAAGGUAUGGAAGGUUCGUGGCGAACUGGGUGACCAUGAACUUGUUGCAGUGGAAGGGCGCAAGUUCGUCCUCGAGUUCUCGGAGGAGGGAGACCGGCAACACGUCAUCAAGGGUGGGCCGUGGCAAUACAAGGGCGAUGUGUUCCUGGUCGUCGGCUUGGAGAAGGAAGUUGAUCCUUCUUCGGCUAUUUUCUCCCAUAUGCCGAUGUGGGUUCAGUUUAGGGGAAUCCCCUUCUACCUCCUCACCAAGGAGCUUGCCCGCAACCUAGGGGGCCAAGUUGGGCCGGUGGUGAUGAUCGAUCCGCAUUCGAGGGGCAACAUCUGUGACAAGUUUCUCAGAGUGAGAGUACAUCUGCCCUUGUACUCGGCGCUGCAAAAGGAGAUUACAUUGGCUGAUGAGAUCACAGAGGAGGAGGUUACAGUCUACCUGAGGUAUGAAAGAUUGCCAAAUUUCUGUUUAUUCUGUGGAUAUAUAGGACAUAUGGAAGCAAGGUGUGAUCUCCCAAAUGAAGAGAAGAAGCCGAGGUUCAGUAAGGAGCUCGGUGUGUUUCCAGUGCACUUUGACGACCCCCGUGCUUGGUUCCUGCCUGAGAAGAUGGGGCAAAAACAGGCUUCCCAGUCGUCACCGCCCUUGUGGCGUGCUCCUAAGCCUGCGAGCCAUGACAAUACUGUGUUGACUGCAGUGGAACAAAUGCGGGAGGUUGUAGCCCGCCUCUCGGUGGGUGACGGGAUGGAAACUGACACAAAUCUGAAGGUUACAACGGCUACAUCUAGCAAAGUCCAGAACCCGGAGAAUCUGAUGGUUGAGGAUGCUGACGCCUCCAACGCGUUGGCGUCGAAUGCGACUAUCACCAAGGCCGCCACCAACCUGAAGACAGUUGACAAUACCUCCGCCUUGUCCUUUGUGGAGAACAACAUCACUAUGACAGAUCCAGCAAACACGGUGGUGGGCAAGACGGUAGAGCGGAACACUUCAAAGCUACUGAUGCCACUUCGGUGCUUGGCCCCAAGGUCGGGGUGA